GUGCUCACUUUGGCAGGACAUAUUCUAAAAUUGGAAGAAUACAAAGAUUAGCAUAGCCCCUGUGACAGGCAAAUUCAUGAGGUGUUCCAUAUUUUU
ensembl:snRNA U6 U6 spliceosomal RNA